rnacentral:rRNA from 1 species
GACGAACGCUGGCGGCGUGCUUAACACAUGCAAGUCGAACGGAAAGGCCCUGCUUGCCGGGUGCUCGAGUGGCGAACGGGUGAGUAACACGUGGGUGAUCUGCCCCUUAUUUUGGGAUAAGCCUGGGAAACUGGGUCUAAUACUGGAUAGGACCAUGCUGUAGGUGGUGUGGUGGAAAGAUUAGUUUCGGUAAGGGAUGAGCUCGCGGCCUAUCAGCUUGUUGGUGGGGGAAUGGCCUACCAAGGCGUCGACGGGUAGCCGGCCUGAGAGGGUGGACGGCCACAUUGGGGCUGAGGUACGGCCCAGACUCCUACGGGAGGCAGCAGUGGGGAAGAGUGCACAAUGGGGGGAAGCCGGAUGCAGCGACGCCGCGUGGGGGAUGACGGCGUUCGGGUUGUAAACUCCUUUCAGCCAUGACGAAGCCCUUGUGGUGACGGUAGUGGUAGAAGAAGCACCGGCUAACUACGUG